UGGCCCGAAAGUUCGAUCGUAGAAGGAGUGUCAACUCCCAUCACCGUGGAUGGUUCGGCCCUUGUGAGCGUCCGACACAUCAUCGGUCGUCGGGUUCAUGCGGACUCUUAGUCCGAGUCAAGACGUCGGGACUCGACCUUCUUGGUGAGCGCCGGUCGUUAGUCGAAGGGUUAAAACUCCGAAAUUUGAAACUGGAUUUGUAUUCCGAAUGAACAAGUACAAAGUUCAUUGGU
rnacentral:lncRNA from 1 species